rnacentral:RNase_P_RNA from 1 species
AUAGUAGGUUACUCUAUCGCUGCUUUCUUCGGAAAGGAGAGGAAAGUCCGGGCAACACAGGGUGCCAUGCUUCCUAACGGGAAGAUCUGCGCGAGCGGAUAGUAGUGUAACAGAGAAUAACCGCCACUUUGUGGUAAGGGUGAAAAGGUGAGGUAAGAGCUCACCGGUCUCGGUGGUGACACCGGGAGCCGUACGCCUCAUGGGUUGCAAGACCAAAUAUACCGGCAGUUAAAGAACGCACCCGUUCAAUGUCGGGGGGUAGGUUGCUAGAGGUUGCAGGCGACUGUAAUCGUAGAUAAAUGAUAGGGCGCUGCUUUGCAGCUGACAGAACCCGGCUUAUCGAUCUACUAUUUUU